rnacentral:rRNA from 4 species
UUGACCUCGGAUCAGGUAGGGAUACCCGCUGAACUUAAGCAUAUCAAUAAGCGGAGGAAAG